UUGCUUCAGCAGCACAUAUACUAAAAUUGGAAUGAUACGUGGAAGAUUAGCAUGACCCCAGUGCAAAGAUGACACACAAAUUCAUGAAGCAUUAAAAAAAAAA